rnacentral:rRNA from 1 species
AGCGAACGCUGGCGGCAGGCCUAACACAUGCAAGUCGAACGAAGUCUUCGGACUUAGUGGCGGACGGGUGAGUAACACGUGGGAACGUGCCUUUAGGUUCGGAAUAACUCAGGGAAACUUGUGCUAAUACCGAAUGUGCCCUUCGGGGGAAAGAUUUAUCGCCUUUAGAGCGGCCCGCGUCUGAUUAGCUAGUUGGUGAGGUAAAGGCUCACCAAGGCGACGAUCAGUAGCUGGUCUGAGAGGAUGAUCAGCCACAUUGGGACUGAGACACGGCCCAAACUCCUACGGGAGGCAGCAGUGGGGAAUCUUGCGCAAUGGGCGAAAGCCUGACGCAGCCUUGCCGCGUGAAUGAUGAAGGUCUUAGGAUUGUAAAAUUCUUUCACCGGGGACGAUAAUGAUGGUACCCGGAGAAGAAGCCCCGGCUAACUUCGUGCCAGCCGCCGCGGUAA